GGGUCUUUAGCUCAGCAGUAGAGCGGCAGACUUCGGUUGUCACAUUCGAAGAUACCUUGAGGGUAUUCUGCAGGUCGCGGGUUCAAUCCCCGUAGGACUCU
rnacentral:tRNA from 1 species